AACACAUGCAAGUCGAACGAGACCUUCGGGUCUAGUGGCGCACGGGUGCGUAACGCGUGGGAAUCUGCCCUUGGGUUCGGAAUAACUCGCCGAAAGGCGUGCUAAUACCGGAUGAUGCCGUAAGACCAAAGAUUUAUCGCCCAGGGAUGAGCCCGCGUAAGAUUAGGUAGUUGGUGAGGUAAAGGCUCACCAAGCCGACGAUCUUUAGCUGGUCUGAGAGGAUGAUCAGCCACACUGGGACUGAGACACGGCCCAGACCCCUACGGGAGGCAGCAGUGGGGAAUAUUGGACAAUGGGCGAAAGCCUGAUCCAGCAAUGCCGCGUGAGUGAUGAAGGCCUUAGGGUUGUAAAGCUCUUUUACCCGGGAUGAUAAUGUCAGUACCGGGAGAAUAAGCUCCGGCUAACUCCGUGCCAGCAGCCGCGGUAAUUC
rnacentral:rRNA from 1 species